CAACCUCCUACACGAUUUUACGCAGCUUCACAGAAUGGGGGUGGCGGGGGGGGGGGGGGGGGGGGGUAGUGGUGGGGGAGUAAAAUCACUUUUUUUAAGCUAAUAUAAAUUUAAAUGCUGAGACUUUUCAAAAUGGGGCUUUAAUGUGACUUACAAAUUCAUAUAUAUAUAUAUUCAUAUAUAUCUAAAAUACACAUAUCAAUAUUAGUCUGGCUCAGAGAAGAAGACAGGGUUACAAAAACCCCUAAAAGCUUAUUUUCCAACACAAGUCUUGGUCUUGGCUUCCCAGAUGCUAUUGGUCUUAUCAGAUAGCCAGAAAAUGCUGGUCAUUGCUUAGCUUUCUAAAAGGGCAGUAGGUAACAACACAUGAGCAAAGGGGUCGACUUCCUAUGGCAACCAUUCCAUAAAUGGCAAAGCAUUUUUAUACCGAGCAAGAUUAAUGGCAGAUUUCUUUUUUAAAAAGUUAAAUGACAAAGUCGAAUUCUUCCAAAUAUUUACCUUCCAAUGUUUAAGAUAUGGAAGAUCUACUGAAAUCUCACCUAAAGUAAAUUACUUUGUUUUUCAUUUGGCAAUUUUUUUUUUUUCUCUUUCCUUGCUCAUUUCCUCCUGUCGGCUGGCCUGCCUAGGAGGGCAGCUUCCUCGGGCUCGGUCGGUAAACGGGGCAGCGGGCAGCGGGCAGCGGGCAGUCGGGCCUCUGUAAGGAGAUCCCAACCCCACGCCCCUGGACAUCUGAAACCUGAAGUUGAACUACUUGGAGGCUGGUCGAGUUCUCCCCCCAAAACCUCCAGCCACAGGAUCGGGGUGGGGGACACCCCCUGCUUCAUUUCAGAGCUGACGUUUGCCACCCUGGGGUCUAGCAAAAACCAGAGGCGAACUCUCCGCGCUCUCCCGGUAAAUCCGCAUCCACUCCGGGGCGCGAAGCUGAAGGGCAGGGCGUGCUCGGUGGCGAGCCCGAGCCGGGGCGCUCGGGACCCCGCUCCCUGCGCGGGGGGUCCGGGCCGGGCGGCCGUGUGCGCUCCGGGGGCCGCUCCGUUGGCCUCCAGGGCGGCGCAGGGGGCACGCGCGCCUAAGGUGGGCCACCUGCGGGGAAGGAACCGGGCGGUGAGGCCGCACGGGCAGGGGCGCAGACCGGGGACCGCGCGGGGCCGGGGAGCGCGGGGGCGGGGGCGGCGGGGCUGGCGCACGGGCCUCGCCUUCCCCAGCAGGGGGUCCGCAGGGGACCCGACCUCCCAGCCUCGCCGCCCAGGCGUCCCCCAGCCCACGACCGGCCCCUCGCUCCCGGCCGCGCGGGUCCCCGCCCCCCGGAGCAGCGGCGCCGCGGGGCGGGCGGGCCGGGAUGCGCUCGUCCGCUACCUGUCGGCGGGAGGCGAGCACCGGGCGCCCGCACGUCGCGCCGGCGGGACUCGGGGCCGCAGCGGAGCGCGCCGGGCAGCAGUGGGCGCUCGCGAUCCUCCGCUGCCCUGCGCGCUCUCCCUCAGGGCCCGGCCUCCUCCGUCCCCUCCUCCUGCUCCUGCUCCUCCUCCCGCUCCUCCCCUCGGCGGGACUGCUCGCCUAGCCUCCCGCCUGCACAGUCCCCGGCGCGCCGGCAGCCACCAGACGCCGCCACCGCCGGGUCUCCGCGGGUGCCCGCGCCCCUGCCUCGGCCGGCCGUCCCGAGGCGCCCCGAAGCUCGUCCGCCGGCCGCCGGUGCUCCGCGGCCCUGCCCAUGGCUCAGCCCGAGAGCCGACUUCGGGCGCCGGACCGGCUCGACAGCGGCGCGGCUCAGUAACCGGCGGCCCGCGCCCCCCAUGUGUCCCUGAG
rnacentral:lncRNA from 1 species